GUGUCAGCAGCCGCGGUAAUACAGAGGUGGCAAACGUUGUCCGGAUUUAUUGGGUGUAAAGGGCAUGUAGGCGGUCUUGUAAGUCAAAGGUGAAAUGGCCCGGCUCAACCAGGUCAUUGCCUUUGAAACUGCAGGGCUUGAGUACGGAAGAGGAAAGCGGAAUUCCCAGUGUAGCGGUGAAAUGCGUAGAUAUUGGGAGGAACACCGGUGGCGAAGGCGGCUUUCUGGUCCGAAACUGACGCUGAGAUGCGAAAGCCAGGGGAGCAAACGGGAUUAGAUACCCCGGUAGUCCUGGCCGUAAACGAUGAGAACUAGGUGUUAGAGGUAUCCACUCCUCUAGUGCCGCAGCUAACGCAUUAAGUUCUCCACCUGGGGACUACGACCGCAAGGUUGAA
rnacentral:rRNA from 1 species